UACGGAGGGGGCUAGCGUUGUUCGGAAUUACUGGGCGUAAAGCGCACGUAGGCGGCCUUGUAAGUUAGAGGUGAAAGCCCGGGGCUCAACCCCGGAAUUGCCUUUAAGACUGCAUCGCUUGAAUCCAGGAGAGGUGAGUGGAAUUCCGAGUGUAGAGGUGAAAUUCGUAGAUAUUCGGAAGAACACCAGUGGCGAAGGCGGCUCACUGG
rnacentral:rRNA from 1 species